UACGUAGGUGGCAAGCGUUGUCCGGAUUUACUGGGCGUAAAGCGCGCGCAGGCGGUCGUUUAAGUCGAAUGUGAAAGCCCCCGGCUCAACUGGGGAGGGUCAUUCGAUACUGAUCGACUUGAAGGCAGGAGAGGGUAGUGGAAUUCCCGGUGUAGUGGUGAAAUGCGUAGAUAUCGGGAGGAACACCAGUGGCGAAGGCGACUACCUGGCCUGUUCUUGACGCUGAGGAGCGAAAGCUGGGGGAGCAAACGGG
rnacentral:rRNA from 1 species